AGUCUCAGUUCGGNUUGAAGGCUGAAAUUCGCCUUCAUGAAGCCGGAAUUGCUAGUAAUGGCAGGUCAGCAUACUGCCGUGAAUACGUUCCCGGGCCUUGUACACACCGCCCGUCACACCAUGAGAGUUGGGAAUACCCGAAGCCUGUGAGCUAACUUUUAGAGGCAGCAGUCGAAGGUAGAAUCAAUGAUUGGGGUGAAGUCGUAACAAGGUAAC
rnacentral:rRNA from 1 species